CCCCCGUCUCCUCUUCUCGUUCUCCUUCCCCUCCCCAGCUUGGUGUGCGCCUCUUUCUUUUCUCGCCACUCUUCAUUCUUAUUUAUUCAUAUUUAUUUGGCUCCUGCUCUUUCUCCCCUUCCCUCCCUCCCUCCGGAUCCCUGCUCUUUCCCCGGAGUGGCUUGUCGGGGGCUCCGCCGCUGGCCAGGCGUGAUGUUGCACGUGGAGAUGUUGACGCUGGUGUUUCUGGUGCUCUGGAUGUGUGUGUUCAGCCAGGACCCAGGCUCCAAGGCCGUCGCCGACCGCUACGCCGUCUACUGGAACAGCAGCAACCCCAGGUGACUGGAACAUCAGUGCUAUUUGAGGCAUACUUGGCUGUACAGUCUAAUUUGGCAUUUCCAGCAUGAGACCAAGGUCAAUAAACUCCCUGUGAUUAAAAGAAUCAGAGAGAGCCUUCAGUUGUCCAUUACUCCCUGUUAGUUGAUUUUAGUGGUAUUAACUAAACCAUUGGCUCACUGAAGGAA